rnacentral:rRNA from 1 species
UACGAAGGGGGCUAGCGUUGCUCGGAAUUACUGGGCGUAAAGCGCACUAGGCGGCUUGUUAAGUCAGGGGUGAAAUCCUGGAGCUCAACUCCAGAACUGCCUUUGAUACUGGCGAGCUUGAGUUCGGGAGAGGUGAGUGGAACUGCGAGUGUAGAGGUGAAAUUCGUAGAUAUUCGCAAGAACACCAGUGGCGAAGGCGGCUCACUGGCCCGAUACUGACGCUGAGGUGCGAAAGCGUGGGGAGCAAACAGG